rnacentral:lncRNA from 1 species
ACAGUUUCCGCAAUACGUUCCCCUCCCUCCGCCGCUAGUUUCUCCCCGUACCUACGAGAAACCCGAACGUACAGAGGCUUCACCAUUUUCAAAUACUUGUGCAUCACUACCUCCUUGGAGAAACGCUUCUCCUCUGAAACCGAAGGUGGUGAUGACUCCUCUGUUUCGUUCUGUGGUUGCGGUUUGUUGACUCUGGAGCUGUGGUCUCUGGUGAACAGAGACACGAUUGGAACUUCCUCCACUUUGAAUUUCACCCUCUGCUGACUUGUGCAUCACUACCUCCUUGGAGAAACGCUUCUCCUCUGAAACCGAAGGUGGUGAUGACUCCUCUGUUUCGUUCUGUGGUUGCGGUUUGUUGACUCUGGAGCUGUGGUCUCUGGUGAACAGAGACACGAUUGGAACUUCCUCCACUUUGAAUUUCACCCUCUGCUGAUGCUGGUGGUGGUGGUUCUUCUUGGUUGG